rnacentral:misc_RNA from 1 species
AACGCACGAGACCUGCGGACCUGCGGAAGGAUCAUUACUGAGGAGGGUCCAUGGCCCGAUCUCCAACCCUUUGAUAAAAACACCAUGUUGCUUUGGCAGGCCCGCCCGUUGGGGCCGCGGGGGAUCGCCGGUCCCUAGCCCGUGCCUGCCGGUAGCCUUCACAAAACUCUCAAAAUGUUGUCGUCUGAGAUGAUUAGAAUAAUAAAACUUUUAGCAAUGGAUCUCUAGAUCGGAAGAGCA